rnacentral:lncRNA from 1 species
UCCAUCACACACCUACUCUAGCAUGGCAGCUUGGUGCAGUUUCCUCCUGCUCAGCAAUUAGAUCUUCACAUCUUCCUGGACGCUGAGCUGUGAGAGGGUCUUCUUAAUGCGCAGGGCGGUGAGGCGAGCCGCUCCGUUGGCGUACCAACACUCCCUCAUCAUCUUACCCAUCACCCGCAGCGCCUCGUAGCUCUGCCACCAGUUGGG